rnacentral:misc_RNA from 1 species
UUUCCGUAGGUGAACCUGCGGAAGGAUCAUUAUUGUGUAACCGAGGUGCGAGGGCUGUCGCUGACCCGAAAGGUCGUGCACGCCCGAGUGCCCUCACACACAUCCAUCUCACCCCUAUGUGCACCACCGCGUGGGUCCCCCUUUGGCUUGUUCGGAGGGGGGCUUACGUUUUCACACAAACUUUGUAUGCAGUGUAGAAUGUAUUUUUUGUUUUUGCGAUCACGCAAUCAAUACAACUCUCAACAACGGAUCUCUUGGCUCUC